GCAGUGGUGAUUCAGGGAUGAACUCUUACCUUUCAUUUGGGAAGACCUGGGUUCAAUUCCUAGCCAGUGCA
rnacentral:tRNA from 1 species